rnacentral:rRNA from 1 species
ACACUCCUACGGGAGGCAGCAGUGGGGAAUAUUGGACAAUGGGCGCAAGCCUGAUCCAGCCAUGCCGCGUGAGUGAUGAAGGCCCUAGGGUUGUAAAGCUCUUUCACCGGAGAAGAUAAUGACGGUAUCCGGAGAAGAAGCCCCGGCUAACUUCGUGCCAGCAGCCGCGGUAAUACGAAGGGGGCUAGCGUUGUUCGGAAUUACUGGGCGUAAAGCGCACGUAGGCGGAUCGAUCAGUCAGGGGUGAAAUCCCAGGGCUCAACCCUGGAACUGCCUUUGAUACUGUCGAUCUGGAGUAUGGAAGAGGUGAGUGGAAUUCCGAGUGUAGAGGUGAAAUUCGUAGAUAUUCGGAGGAACACCAGUGGCGAAGGCGGCUCACUGGUCCAUUACUGACGCUGAGGUGCGAAAGCGUGGGGAGCAAACAGGAUUAGAAACCCGGGUAGUCCCA